GAAAUUCGCCUUCAUGAAGCCGGAAUUGCUAGUAAUGGCAGGUCAGCAUACUGCCGUGAAUACGUUCCCGGGCCUUGUACACACCGCCCGUCACACCAUGAGAGUUGGGGAUACCCGAAGCCUGUGAGCCAACUAUAUAGAGGCAGCAGUCGAAGGUAGAAUCAAUGAUUGGGGUGAAGUCGUAACAAGGUAGC
rnacentral:rRNA from 1 species